CGGACGGGUGAGUAACGCGUGGGUAACCUGCCUCAUACAGGGGGAUAACAGUUAGAAAUGACUGCUAAUACCGCAUAAGACCACAGGAUCGCAUGAUCCGGUGGUAAAAACUCCGGUGGUAUGAGAUGGACCCGCGUCUGAUUAGCUAGUUGGUGGGGUAACGGCUCACCAAGGCGACGAUCAGUAGCCGACCUGAGAGGGUGACCGGCCACAUUGGGACUGAGACACGGCCCAA
rnacentral:rRNA from 1 species